rnacentral:rRNA from 1 species
UACGGGGGGGGCAAGCGUUGUUCGGAAUUACUGGGCGUAAAGGGCUCGUAGGUGGCCAAUUAAGUCAGACGUGAAAUCCCUCGGCUUAACCGGGGAACUGCGUCUGAUACUGGAUGGCUUGAGUUUGGGAGAGGGACGCGGAAUUCCAGGUGUAGCGGUGAAAUGCGUAGAUAUCUGGAGGAACACCGGUGGCGAAGGCGGCGUCCUGGACCAAGACUGACACUGAUGAGCGAAAGCCAGGGGAGCAAACGGG